AUUGAACGCUGGCGGCAGGCCUAACACAUGCAAGUCGAGCGGAGCGGCGGACGGGUGAGUAAGGCCUAGGAAUCUGCCUGGUAGUGGGGGAUAACGUCCGGAUACGGGCGCUAAUACCGCAUAAUAUCAGAUGAGACUAGGUCGGAUUAGCUAGUUGGUGGGUUAAAGGCUUACCCAGGCGACGAUCCGUAACUGGUCUGAGAGGAUGAUCAGUCACACUGGAACUGAGACACGGUCCAGACUCCUACGGGAGGCAGCAGUGGGGAAUAUUGGACAAUGGGCGCAAGCCUGAUCCAGCCAUGCCGCGUGUGUGAAGAAGGUCUUCGGAUUGUAAAGCACUUUAAGUUGGGAGGCGUUACCAACAGAAGAAGCACCGGCUAACUUCGUGCCAGCAGCCGCGGUAAUUC
rnacentral:rRNA from 1 species